CAGAGAGAGGAGAGACAUCCCUUAGCUUUUAAAUGUGCCUGAAUAACAGUCAGGCAUGUCCAGCAUUCUCUAGCAUUUUCCUAAAGGAAACAAGAGCCCAGAAGACCCUCCAAGAAAUAAGAAAAUAGGAUGAAUUGGGAAGUCCACUGACUGCCUUCAGUGCUGCCUUUGGCUUGAUUUUGUAAUUUUACAUCUUUGUCCUUACACCGGAGUCUGAUCCAGGAAACCAGGGAGUACUUCAGGCUCUUCCAUUGAAAUGCUUGAGGCUGAAAGUUAGCUGAAUGCAAAAAGAAUCAAGAAACAGAGAAACAUUCCAUGGUCCUUAAAACCCAAAGGUUUUUGCUAAUUAAUGCCACCACUGUGGAAAUGGAAGCAGUUCUGCAAACAAGCUGCGACAAAUGGGAUUUUUAUUGCCAGUGGAAAAGCCCGGGGAAUAAUUAGCGGGUCCAUGGAGAUCUUUUGAUUACAGACAUCUGCAUUGGUAAUGUCCAGAUGAAAAGAUCACCCAGGGAAAUGUUUUGGGAGUUUCACCUUAGGGCACAUUUAUUGUAUUGUCAGCUACACCCUUCAAAAUGCAGUUGGACAUAUGUGGGAAAAUAUUUUGUGAAAUGCUAGGCCAAGGAACCUGAUGUUGACUAAUCUGGACUAGGGAAACUGGCUUUGCUUUCCAAAGCACUGUCCAGCUGCCAAGACUUGCAGAUGUAAUAUUUUGAUAUCUCAUUAAAGCUGAUUUCACAGAGAUA